UACGAAGGGGGCUAGCGUUGCUCGGAAUCACUGGGCGUAAAGCGCACGUAGGCGGCUUGUUAAGUCAGGGGUGAAAGCCCUGGGCUCAACUCAGGAAGUGCAUUUGAAACUGGCGAGCUUGAAUAUGGAAGAGGGUCGCGGAAUUCCCGGUGUAGAGGUGAAAUUCGUAGAUAUCGGGAGGAACACCAGUGGCGAAGGCGGCGACCUGGGCCAAUAUUGACGCUGAGGUGCGAAAGCGUGGGGAUCAAACAGG
rnacentral:rRNA from 1 species